rnacentral:rRNA from 1 species
UACGUAGGAGGCAAGCGUUGUCCGGAGUUACUGGGCGUAAAGAGUGUGUAGGUGGUGCUCCAAGUCUGUUGUGAAAUCUCCCGGCUUAACUGGGAGGGUGCGGCGGAAACUGGAAUGCUUGAGGAUGGGAGAGGAAAGCGGAAUUCCUGGUGUAGCGGUGAAAUGCGUAGAUAUCAGGAGGAACACCCGUGGUGUAGACAGCUUUCUGGACCAUUUCUGACGCUGAGACACGAAAGCGUGGGUAGCAAACAGG